UACGAAGGGGGCUAGCGUUGCUCGGAAUUACUGGGCAUAAAGCGCACGUAGGCGGCUUUCUAAGUCGGGGGUGAAAUCCUGGAGCUCAACUCCAGAACUGCCUUCGAUACUGGAGAGCUCGAGUCCGGGAGAGGUGAGUGGAACUGCGAGUGUAGAGGUGAAAUUCGUAGAUAUUCGCAAGAACACCAGUGGCGAAGGCGGCUCACUGGCCCGGUACUGACGCUGAGGUGCGAAAGCGUGGGGAGCAAACAGG
rnacentral:rRNA from 1 species